rnacentral:tRNA from 1 species
ACCUGGCUGGUUCAGUGGGUGGAGUACGCGACUCUUGAUCUUGGGGUUGUGGGUUCGAGCCCCACGUUGGGUG